CAGAAAUAUGGGCCAAAAAAAAGAAAGGCUUUCACAUCUCUUCAUCUUCUAUUUCAGGUCUUUUCAAUCCCUUUGACGGGGAAGAAAAAAAGCUCUGCACACCAGCAAGGCUCCUGGAUAAGAAUUACAUUUAAUGAAAAGAAAAAACUUUCAAGACGCUAACGCUUCCAGCUACAGCUGGCCUUCCUCACACUUGACAAGCAAUGCAGGGAACACCUUAUUUAUACAGGCCCACAUCUAAAAAGGCUCAUGUGAUUGGAGGUGGCUUCUAAGCAAAUAAGAAAAAAGAGGAGCAGCAACAUCUAACAACAAACCUCUACAAAAUCAGGACAUAAGCACUAUCAUUCAGAAAGAAAGAAAUAUUCAUAUGGAACUAUAUUAAGUGCCAAUAAACAAUCAAGGGACAUAAUCAAUAAGGAGUAAUGACUAAAUACACAUGUGUAUCAUCCUCACAGCCUUAUGCAGGUACCACCACUGUAAUACCACCAUUGUAUUACUGUAGGUAUUCUAUGACACUGAUUGGCAGGUUUUCUCCCUCUCUGCUCUCCACUACAGAUUUCCUCCAUCCUGGCUCCCUUUCUGCAAAGAUGUUGGAGGAAGAUCAGUUAGAGCGGGAAGAAUGUGGGCAAAAAUCAGCUGGAUGCGUGGAAGCCGUUCCUCCUGUACAUACACAAGCAGACGCCGCAUCGAGCGGGCCGGCCCGUUGCUGUGACACAUCAACGCAGAGCCGCCAUAUUGCAUGUGGCAGAUGUGCGCUGUAAACGAAUCCAAGUCAAUGGACUGAACUUCAUGAAGCGCCUUUCUACAAACUUCUAUGCAGAGUCGUGUUGCCCAGGCUGCCCCUGAACACAUCCUAAAGCCUUCAGCCUGCAGCAGUCACAAGGAGGUGUGCUGCUGCCUCUGCUGCUGCUCCUGCUGCUCCUGUGAAAGAAGAUGAUGUCACUGCUGCUCCACACACGCAAACGCAUUUGGAUGGACCACUUGACGGAGACGCAGCUUUUUCUUAGACAUGGGAAACUCUGACAUCUCCUCAAACCUGGACUCACACAUCAAGCACACAUUGAAGUCCAGACAUGCAAACAGAAGGUCAAGCACUUUCUCACUCACUUCUCAGUGCUUCCACACAUUUACGCUCUUUCUGUUGUCCUGGCUGGAUGUAUGAGGAUCUUUAUAACGCCAAACAUCAAUUGAAGACAGUCUGACCGCUUUCCUUAGUUUGCUUCAUGUAAAUAAUGACUUUGAGCUUCAUUGCCUAAAACUGAUGUCUGAGUGUCUCAAGUCUUGUUAAAGUGUUUGACAUCAAUAAAGUUUUUGCCACAGUUUA